rnacentral:rRNA from 1 species
UCUUUGACUCAGUGCAUGCUACUAUGUGAUACGUUUUCAAAGAGUCGAGUUGUUUGGGAAUGCAGCUCAAAAUGGGUGGUAAAUUUCAUCUAAAGCUAAAUAUUGGCGAGAGACCGAUAGCGAACAAGUACCGUGAGGGAAAGAUGAAAAGAACUUUGAAAAGAGAGUUAAACAGUGCGUGAAAUUGUUGAAAGGGAAACGUUUGACACCAGUCAUGCGGGUGAGAAAUCAGUCUUUUAGAGUGGGGAGGGGCAGGAAAUCAGACCGAAAGGCUGACUUUUGUUUCAUCUCUGCUUUAGUGGAUGCACUUUUUCAUUUGCAGGUCAACAUCAGUUUCUUCUGCUGGACAAAACUCUGAGAGAAGGUAGCAGCUUUGGCUGUGUUAUAGCUCUGGAGCGAUACAGUGGGGGGGACUGAGGUUUUCGCAGUGUGUGCUUUCGGGCAAGGUUGAUUAGGUGCUAUGUGAUCGUUCGGUGUACAAUGCAUGCAUUUUGCGCCGUGUCUUUUGCAUACUCGCUUGACUCGACUCUUCCA